rnacentral:rRNA from 1 species
CGUGAGUAACCUGCCUUUCAGAGGGGGACAACAGCUGGAAACGGCUGCUAAUACCGCAUAAUAUAUACAGGUCGCAUGAUUUGUAUAUCAAAGAUUUAUCGCUGAAAGAUGGACUCGCGUCUGAUUAGCUAGUUGGCGGGGUAACGGCCCACCAAGGCGACGAUCAGUAGCCGGACUGAGAGGUUGAACGGCCACAUUGGGACUGAGAUACGGCCCAG